ensembl:snRNA U6 U6 spliceosomal RNA
UUGCUUUGGGAGCACAUUUAUUAAAAUCAGAAUGAUACCAAGAAGAUUAGCAUGGCCCCUGCCCAAGAAUGACAUGCAAAUUCAUGAAGCAUUCCAUAUUUUU